AUUCUUGUACACAUAUCCUUUUUUAUCUUUAUCUUGUUGGAAUAUAUUCUUCUGUCAUCAUAUUUGACAAGUUGGGUGGGAAUAUCUUAUCAGAAACCCCUUCUGAGUCAUCCUAGCAACUUCUAGGUAAAGAAGAAGGUAUAUGGUUCCAGCGCUGUGUAGAUUAUAGUGACUUUGUGUUUUGUAUAAAGAUCUCAUUAUUACAAAUGUGAAAGAUAAAUCAUUUUGUUUGGCUGUGGGUGAUAAACUAUAGAAAGUGUGUAUGUUUUCACAAAAUCUAAAUACUUUUUCAAAAGGCAAUCGCACCUUAGAAUAAUAAUUACUUACUUUGCAUAGGAAAGGUCAAGUGUUGAUUAGUAAUACAAAAUUGUUUAAUCUUUAUGUUUGUGGCUUUGUUGACUAAUGGAGUCAUGAAUGAGUCACGAGAGGGGCUCAUUUUUGUCAUUUAGCGGAGCCUUUGUGAAUAGAAAAUAGAAUUCGAUUAAGUGACAGCCCACCUCGAGCUAUCCGCCCAAUUGAUAUACGUGUCAUUAUGCAAUUGGUUUAUAGUUAUCUAUCUUUAGCGUGGCUGCCAAUCUAGUAAUGUUGUUACUUGUUUUGCUCGACCAAAGAUAAUGUCAAAAUAUUUGUUCAAAACAAAUAAAACAAGUUUCCUAGUGGCUACCUAACAAAUAAAUAAACAAAUAAAUGUAUUUAAAAAUUGUAGAUUUGUUGCUUUUAUUUAUAGCUGUGGUCAGGAAUCACGCAACCUAUCGUUGAAAAAUAGAACAAAAAAUGAACGGCUCAGGAGAGCUUCGCCUUAUUUUUAACGCGAAACGUUUCUUUAAGGCUAAAGGGUAAACACGUAAUUUACAUGGCGCAAUUAGACCUUAUAUAAACGAAUGUUUCUACGUUGGCUUUCUCUUCACGAACGCCUCCGCUCAUAAUUACCAAAUCAUCUUCCUCCUCUCAAAUUAGGGUUUUCUUAUUUGAUCAAAAGUCUUGCUCUUCCCCACCCCCAAAUCAUCUGGAUCUGGUUUUGAUAUCUGUUGAAAGGAGGGAUUCAUAAUUCGUGGUGUCUUAUCUAAAAUUCAUAAAAUA